UACGGAGGGAGCUAGCGUUGUUCGGAAUUACUGGGCGUAAAGCGCACGUAGGCGGCUUUGUAAGUUAGAGGUGAAAGCCUGGGGCUCAACCCCAGAAUUGCCUUUAAGACUGCAUCGCUUGAAUCCAGGAGAGGUGAGUGGAAUUCCGAGUGUAGAGGUGAAAUUCGUAGAUAUUAGGAAGAACACCAGUGGCGAAGGCGGCUCACUGGCCCGGUACUGACGCUGAGACGCGAAAGCGUGGGGAGCAACAGG
rnacentral:rRNA from 1 species